rnacentral:rRNA from 1 species
UACGUAGGUGGCAAGCGUUGUCCGGAUUUACUGGGCGUAAAGGGCGUGCAGGCGGUUUGUUUAGUCUAGGGUGAAAGCUCCCGGCUUAACUGGGAGAGGUCCUUGGAUACUGGCAAACUUGAGGGAGGCAGAGGAAAGUGGAAUUCCCGGUGUAGUGGUGAUAUGCGUAGAUAUCAGGAAGAACACCUAUGGCGAAGGCAGCUCUCUGGGACGGUACUGACGCUGAGACGCGAAAGCGUGGGGAGCGAACAGG